UACCAGCCGCGCUGUGAUGCAGCGGCCAGUCCGUAUUCAAUAAGGCCUUUUGUGCCAAGAUGAUGUGUAGCUGGUGAUCCUAGAGGGUGACCUUGCAUCGCUUAUAUCUCUCCUUUGUUAGAUCUGCUUUAUGUGGUUGAGCUAGUGAUGUGCCUUUUACUUAAUAUAUUUAACUUAUUUCUACAUAAUAUAAAGAUUAGAUAGAUAAUAUAUUUGUGUUUCAUAUGCUAAGUUAAUUAACCAGGCGGAUUGAUGUCGUUUGAGAUGAGGCCCAACUGGAUAUGCUCCUUUGGAGAGGUACUCGGGGGACGCUUAAGUUGCUGUGAGCACAGAUAGUUGAUGUCCUGAAGAUUCAAAACAAAAACUGAUUGCCUACCAACUCUGUCUCUGCAUUGCGCCAACCCUCUCAGAGACAACACUCCACGCGCUUUAACCAGAGACAUAAUAGUGAUUCAGCACAAAUGGACAACAAGAAGUACAAAUUCCAUGUUCACGAUGAAUCCCCCCUCCUCCAGGUCCAGAUCUCCUCAAAUUAGAUUAUCUAACACGAUACUUCAAUCUGUUUCUUAAUUGCAAAUGGGCAUGCGAAAGUUACAAAUUGUUAUGAAUCUUUCUGAUCUUGAGCAAAUGGUGAUCCUCUAAAUGAAAGAAAUUCUAUUCCUAAAAGCUGUAGUCAAUUCCUCUAGAGCUUUUUCAGGUUCAAUUUUUCAAGUUGUUUUCAUUUGGGACCAGGCGGCUAAAAGCUUGCUCAAAUGAUCGAUAGUGGUUUCUCUUUUUCGACAGUUCUUGGCGGCUUCGUCCCUGAAAUUAGACAUCAUGAAAUUUUUGUUUGUUUAUAAGGCGUGCAUCUUUCUGACGCUUUCUUUGUUUCCUUUUCCUUUCCACUUUUCUCAUGUAGCAAUUGGUGCACAAUUCUUCUGGUUAUCGUUUUGGACUUUCAUCUUUACAGCAUCAAAUCUCUGUAUCCGACUUUCUUCUGCAUCAAGGCUAAUCCGAAUUCGACCCAUUUGCACCCAUACAUCUAAUAGUAGAUUACCAGACUCUGUUUGUUGGAGGAAGGAUUUUAAACUCAAAGCCGUGAAUUCUUCAGAGGGAACCUUGAAACUGUGAACUGACCAAUUAAUGGCUUCCAACCUUUCAUCUUCAAAUCAGCCGUUCUUUCUCUCUCACUUAACCAGAAUCAGCAACCCAAGUGUCAAAUUCUCAGUGAAUGAUAAAAAAGCCUCGGAAGCAUAUGCUGAUGGUGGGAGCAACCAUUAAGCCCAUCGAGUGCAAAAAGACAAAGGAAGCUACAGAAUUAGUCGACUUGAUGUCCUUGUCCCUUAAGUAGGCGGCUUGUCUGACACUCCACCACGAAAUUUAUGGCAAAGAAGAUGCAAUCGACAUUUCACCAAGGUGAAACUGGCUUUUACGAGACUGUAUUUUGAUAUUGACCAUGGUUGUCGCCAUGCAAUGGAGUCUAUAAAUUGAAGUGGGGAGGCCACUAGUACACACCACAGUAGCAGCUAGCACCCAAGAAACUCUGUUUCCUUCCUUUCAUUUCCUUGCCAUCAUUUUUCUUUACUUUUGGAGAAAAUGGCGAUGAAGCUCAACUCUUCUGCUGUCACAUGUUUCC